rnacentral:rRNA from 1 species
AUUGAACGCUGGCGGCAUGCUUUACACAUGCAAGUCGAGCGGCAGCGCGGGGGUAACCUCUGGCGGCGAGCGGCGGACGGGUGAGUAAUGCAUCGGAACGUAUCCCGUAGUGGGGGACAACCCAGCGAAAGCUGGGCUAAUACCGCAUAUGCUCUACGGAGGAAAGUGGGGGACCUGAAAGGGCCUCACGCUAUGGGAGCGGCCGAUGUCCGAUUAGCUAGUUGGNGAGGUAAAGGCUUACCAAGGCGACGAUCGGUAGCUGGUCUGAGAGGAUGAUCAGCCACACUGGGACUGAGACACGGCCCAGACUCCUACGGGAGGCAGCAGUGGGAAUUUUGGGCAAUGGCCGAAAGGCUGACCCAGCGACGCCGCGUGUGGGAUGACG